rnacentral:rRNA from 1 species
GUGCAGCAGUCGCGAAAACUCCGCAAUACGCGAAAGCGUGACGGGGCCAUCCCGAGUGCCGUCCGCUGAGGAUGGCUUUUCCCUAGUGUAGAUAGCUGGGGGAAUAAGGAGAGGGCAAGUCUGGUGUCAGCCGCCGCGGUAAUACCAGCUCUCCGAGUGGUGGGGAUGUUUAUUGGGCCUGAAGCAUCCGUAGCUGGCUGAGCAAGUUCUCCGUUAAAUCCAGCGAUUUAAUCGUUGGACUGCGGAGGAUACUGUUCGGCUAGGGGGCGUGAGAGGCCAACGGUAUUCCCGGGGUAGGGGUGAAAUCCUAUAAUCCCGGGAGGACCACCAGUGGCGAAGGCUGUUGGCUAGAACACGCCCGACGGUGAGGGAUGAAAGCUGGGGGAGCGAACCGGAUUAGAUACCCGGGUAGUCC